AUUCUCUUAGAAGGUUCUAGAAUAUUCUUAGAAGGUUCUAGAAUAUUCUGAUAAAUUCUAAGAAGUUGCUCGAGAAGUUUCCUAAUUAGUAGAAGUUGUUAGAGAAGCGUCCUAGUUAGCGGAAGUAGCUCGAGAAGCUUCCUAUUCAGUAGUAUAUAUAGGAGUCGAGGCUGAAGGAUUCUUCAGUCUCGACAACACAUCUCUUGGAGUUCUAGCUCACCUUUUUGGUGUUGUUCUUGUACUCAUCUGUUUAAUCUAGUUCUGCCACUUCUUCUUGAACUUCUUGUUAGAUUUCAAGUCUGUAUUUUGUGUCCGUGACACCUUAGGUGUAUUAUAAUAAUAGUAGAUGGUCUAGGUAGCGUCUACCAUGUCUUCAUGGACUUGACUCACAUACUUCUUCCACUGCUAUCAACGCAUCGACAGACAAUGGUAUUAAGUUGGGUAGGUCGUGAUGGACGUGUGGUCAUGGAUUUUGUCCUUAAAACCGAAAUUGGACAAGUUCUAUCUCCUAUGUUGUGGUUUCUAAAUACAACUCAUCCUUCUAUCCUUCACGCUAAACAUGAAAGUAGGGGGAUAUGUCUAGACUAAUUUUGGGCCUAGUAGCUGC
rnacentral:lncRNA from 1 species